UUGGUCCUGCUUUUGCGUUUGACAGCAUCACCAUUGUAAAAUUACCUUUUCUGUUGAAGCCUUUAGGAUACCUUCAUGAAGGCUUCCAGGGAAUGAAAGGUAUGAUAUGUUUCUAUAACUGAAUAAUCUAAGUGCUAAAGGGAAAUACAGUGAUGGCUGAAAAUCUGCAAAAGGAGUACUUUUCCCUGCACAAACAUGAAAAGGAGGUGUUUUAGACAUCUGCUGAAAAUGAAUGACAGYCUCCCCAGGCGUGCGAGGAAGCCGUGCCUGGGAAACUGCGCUGCUCGAGCCAUUGCUCAAGCCAAUGGGAACCAGCUUGUCCAAGGGGAGGCUGGCAAGGCUGCCGACAGGAGGCUGCCUUGCCACUGCUAACGCUGCGCUCACUGCCUGCAUACAAGACUYGUCUUUCAAUACCUUCCACUCUCAAUGCCUGCCACACUCAGUGCAGUCUGAACCCAAAAUUGAAAGCCUGGUGGUGAUGUGGGGGAGAGGGAGAUGAAGGACAGAGGAUGAGGAUGUUUCUACUAUCAGGAGGGUAUUGUGAAAAAUCCGUCAUGUUGGGUAACUAUAUCCUUAAGGCAAAAUUUGUAUUAUGCAACUGUGAUACAUUCAAGUCUGAACAGCUGGUUCUUGUGAGAGACAGAAGAAAUGAGUUUCCCGUGCAGCUUUUGUAUUAAUAAUUCAUCUCAUUAAGGUGUGGUCUAAUGGCCUUAGCACAGGCCCAGGAGUCAGCCCGAAGAAUGGUUCUCACACCAGCUCCUUCCAUAGGUGUCUGCAACUCUCAUUUCCUCCUUGCCUCCAUUUCCCCAUACGGGAGAGGGAAGAAUUACACUCGCGUUGGUUCAGAUCUGUAAAGCGUUUGGCCUAGUACUCUGUUGCUCUGGACAUUUUUCAGUCUUUUACAAAAGCAUGCAGAGAGCAUAAAAGUCAGUCAUCCUGGACUAGCAUCAUUUUGUGUUUGUUUCAAGGCAUUAGCGAAUCAGGCCCAGGAUGC
rnacentral:lncRNA from 1 species